rnacentral:misc_RNA from 1 species
AAAUUAUAUCACAUAUAUUAUAUUCUAAAUUUAAAUUCACAUUAGAUCCAAUCAAAAUCAGAAUUUUCCCUCUAAACCGUUUGAGAAACGUGGAUAAAUAAACUAGGGGAAAAAGUAAAGAAAAUUUUUAUUACAAUCAAACUCAAGGAACAUAAACAACUAAGAGGUAAACACUGCCCCCGAACAAAGUUAAACAGGAGUGUCAACAACCACAAAUUUUCACUGUGAGCGUCGCCACCCUGCUUAGAAACUUGCUUUGGUUUUGGUUUCCAGUGUUUCUUGGUUGCUUCUUCACCCGUUAAGACGAACAAGAAUUACGCCCAUGAGUCUGUGUUGGCCAGGCAAUGCCAUACUUAAUUAAUCUCCUUCACAGCCGAUUUGCAUCCGUAUCAGCCGAGGAAGUGAGCGAGUUGGUGGUAGUGGUGGUGCAACCAUGGUUUCAUGAAGUAGAAAUUCCAUGGUCUUGGGAGGACACAUUAAGGCCAGAUGAAGAAACCUUUGGUUUCCUGCCAUGUCCCUUUCCACUUCUACCUCCUGCUCCUCCUUGCAUUACUCCUCCUCUUGCUCCCUUCCCUUUCUUGAAAUUUUGCUGGUGUUCCACCUGUCCCUAAACAGAAUUUCUGAAAGUGAGAGCCAAAGCCAAGAGUCCCCUCCACAUCAUUGAACCCCCCGAAGUUCAUCUCAGAGGAAUUACGCUUGUCGUUGCAGCGGGAACUUUCACUGUAAGAUGCAUAAGAAGAAGAGGUAGAAGAAGACAAAGUAGUAGUAGGAGCAGCAGCAGCAGCUUGACAGCUUCCUCCAAAUGACUCGAUGUCCUCUUGGAACAUUUCUUCAAAUAAUUCCUGUAAAUCCUCAAAGCUCUCCUCCCCAUUUU